rnacentral:rRNA from 1 species
GACGAACGCUGGCGGCGUGCCUAAUACAUGCAAGUCGAGCGAAGCGGCGGAUGGGUGAGUAACGCGUGGGUAACCUGCCCUUAAGUCUGGGAUACCAUUUGGAAACAGAUGCUAAUACCGGAUACUAAAGGAUGGACCUGCGAUGCAUUAGCUAGUUGGUAAGGUAACGGCUUACCAAGGCGAUGAUGCAUAGCCGAGUUGAGAGACUGAUCGGCCACAUUGGGACUGAGACACGGCCCAAACUCCUACGGGAGGCAGCAGUAGGGAAUCUUCCACAAUGGACGAAAGUCUGAUGGAGCAACGCCGCGUGAGUGAAGAAGGUUUUCGGAUCGUAAAGCUCUGUUGUUGGUGAAGCGGUAAUCAACCAGAAAGUCACGGCUAACUACGUGCCAGCAGCCGCGGUAAUAC